GAUGAACGCUGGCGGCGUGCCUAAUACAUGCAAGUCGAGCGAACAGACGAGGAGCUUGCUCCUCUGACGUUAGCGGCGGACGGGUGAGUAACACGUGGAUAACCUACCUAUAAGACUGGGAUAACUUCGGGAAACCGGAGCUAAUACCGGAUAAUAUAUUGAACCGCAUGGUUCAAUAGUGAAAGACGGUUUUGCUGUCACUUAUAGAUGGAUCCGCGCCGCAUUAGCUAGUUGGUAAGGUAACGGCUUACCAAGGCAACGAUGCGUAGCCGACCUGAGAGGGUGAUCGGCUACACUGGAACUGAGACACGGUCCAGACUCCUACGGGAGGCAGCAGUAGGGAAUCUUCCGCAAUGGGCGAAAGCCUGACGGAGCAACGCCGCGUGAGUGAUGAAGGUCUUCGGAUCGUAAAACUCUGUUAUUAGGGAAGAACAAAUGUGUAAGUAACUAUGAACGUCUUGACGGUACCUAAUCAGAAAGCCACGGCUAACUACGUG
rnacentral:rRNA from 1 species